AUUGAACGCUGGCGGCAGGCCUAACACAUGCAAGUCGAACGAGUGGCGGACGGGUGAGUAAUGUCUGGGAAACUGCCCGAUGGAGGGGGUUAACUACUGGAACCGAAAGCUAAUACCGCAUACCAUCGGAUGUGCCCAGAUGGGAUUUGCUUGGAGGAGGGGUAACGGCUCACCUAGGCGACGAUCCCUAGCUGGUCUGUGAGGAUGACCAGCCACACGGGAACUGAGACACGGUCCAGACUCCUACGUGAGGCAGCAGUGGGGAAUAUUGCACAAUGGGCGCAAGCCUGAUGCAGCCAUGCCGCGUGUAUGAAGAAGGCCUUCGGGUUGUAAAGUACUUUCAGCGAGGAGGCGUUACCCGCAGAAGAAGCACCGGCUAACUCCGUGCCAGCCGCCGCGGUAAUAC
rnacentral:rRNA from 1 species